rnacentral:rRNA from 1 species
UGGGGAAUAUUGCACAAUGGGCGCAAGCCUGAUGCAGCCAUGCCGCGUGUGUGAAGAAGGCCUUCGGGUUGUAAAGCACUUUCAGCGAGGAGGAAGGUGGUGAACUUAAUACGUUCAUCAAUUGACGUUACUCGCAGAAGAAGCACCGGCUAACUCCGUGCCAGCAGCCGCGGUAAUACGGAGGGUGCAAGCGUUAAUCGGAAUUACUGGGCGUAAAGCGCACGCAGGCGGUUUGUUAAGUCAGAUGUGAAAUCCCCGGGCUCAACCUGGGAACUGCAUUUGAAACUGGCAAGCUAGAGUCUCGUAGAGGGGGGUAGAAUUCCAGGUGUAGCGGUGAAAUGCGUAGAGAUCUGGAGGAAUACCGGUGGCGAAGGCGGCCCCCUGGACGAAGACUGACGCUCAGGUGCGAAAGCGUGGGGAGCAAACAGGAUUAGAUACCCCUGGUAGUCCACGCUGUAAAACGAUGUCGAUUUUGGAGGUUGUGCCCUUGAGGCGUGGCUUCCGGAGCUAACGCGUUAAAUCGACCGCCUGGGGAGUACGGCCGCAAGGUUAAAACUCAAAGGAAUUGACGGGGUCAUAGCUGUUUCCU